rnacentral:rRNA from 1 species
UACGUAGGGGGCUAGCGUUGUCCGGAUUUAUUGGGCGUAAAGCGCGCGCAGGCGGCGGUGCUGGCCCGGCGUGAAAGCCCCCGGCUCAACCGGGGAGGGUCGUCGGGGACCGCACCGCUUGAGGGCGGUAGGGGCUGGUGGAAUGCCUGGUGUAGUGGUGAAAUGCGUAGAGAUCAGGCGGAACACCCGUGGCGAAGGCGGCCAGCUGGGCCGUCCCUGACGCUGAGGCGCGAAGGCGUGGGGAGCGAACGGG